rnacentral:lncRNA from 1 species
CUGGGUGCUUAAUCGAAAAGAAAAGAAAGCAAUAUGCAGAGUAUACUUGGCUACAUCUAUUCUUGUGUAACUCAGCGGUUUAUUCUCCCAAAACCUAUACCUACUAAUAAAAGAAAUAGAUAUUCUUAGUCCGUCAUGUUAUUAUUUAAGUCAAAAAAAAACAGUUUGACGAAACUAACCUGUUUUGACCGAAGGAAGACCGCCCACCUCGACGUGCUCGUGUAGCUGCUGCGUUCAUGGAGGAGGACUGCUUGAACACGGGGCAAGAGUUUGACUCCCAUUUGAUUCCUUUGCUUUGAUCUUUAAUUUCUUUCCAUAUCACACGUCAAACCAUGAUAAAACAAUUGGAUUAAUUUUUUUGAACAACUUGAUAUCCGCCAGAUGCAGCUGACGACGUUGAUCCGCUUCGCACUGCGCUCAGAGCUCGACCCGCAUUGAGCAAGGGCAGAAGGUAGUAGUCAAAGUAGGGGUCGUGUCUGAUGAGAUCAACGUCGAUAGGCGGUCGAGGCCAUAGCGCCGCCGAUCCGCUUGCCUAGCAAGUCAUCGUGAAGCUCCUGGUUGCCCUGUGCACCUCCCAUGGUCCGACCCUCCAUCUACCUGCAUGCCGAUGAGACGAGACGGUGUCGCCUCCUCUUCCAUACCCUUGCCUCGCCACCCUCUUCGCUCGCUUUCCACCCUUCCCUGCCGCCCAUGCAC